rnacentral:rRNA from 1 species
GCAAGCUGAGAAACGGCUAGCACAUCUAAGGAAGGCAGCAGGCGCGCAAAUUACGCAAUGACAGUACAAUGUCGACGUAGUGAAGAAAAAUAACGAUGUAGUUCUUAUUUACAAGAUCUACAAUUGGAAUGAGUACACUGUAAAUAUGUUAACGAGUAUCAAUUAGAGGGCAAGUCUGGUGCCAGCAGCCGCGGUAAUUCCAGCUCUAAUAGCGUAUAUUAAAGUUGUUGCGGUUAAAAAGCUCGUAGUUGGAUUUUUGGCUUUGCUUUCAAGUUAGAGAUACCAUUAAGGUAGGUUUGGCUAUCAACAUAUUACUUCGCGUAUUAUGGGUCACCUACUGGUGUCUUUUCAGCUUAAAGCGGCCGUUUCGUCACUUUUAUAAGGUGCGAAACAUGUCUAUUCAAUACAUAUUUUUAUGUUUUGCUUAGAUAAGUUUACCUUGAGAAAAUUAGAGUGCUCAAAGCAGGCGAAUCGUAUGCCGCAAGGUAUACAUUUAUGCUUGAAUAAUGUUGCAUGGAAUAAUAGAAUAUGGCCUCGGUUCUAUUCUGUUGGUCUUGUAGAACAACAAACAAGUUCGCUAAAUCUAAUAAUGUUAUCUGUUGGGUGGCAUUUAUUCUGGUAAUCUGCUUCUAUGGAUUGUAUGUUACCUCACUCGCAAGGGUGAGUGUCAUCGAUUUAUUGAAGAUUUGGUCUACUGUGAAUGAUGCCCGUCAGAAAAGCUCAACUGUUAACAAGAUUUGCGAAUCGAGGCAAUGGUUAAGAGGGAUAGACGGGGGCAUUCGUACUGCAUCGCUAGAG